UGAUGGCAGUGGAGACCAAGACGGCUGCGGAAGAAAGCAUGGGCAAUGACAGUGGAGAUCGAGGCGGCAGUGAGAGUUUCUUUAUCUUUUCGUUUUUUCUCUCUCUUCUUUUUUUUUUUAAUCUAUUUUUAACUUAUUUUAUAGUAUUUUUUGGAAUUAUUUGAUAGUUUCUGUUUAAGAUGAGUUGGAUUGGAUUAAAAAUCUAAUAUUUCAAUAAUAUCUGCCCGCCGCAUUGCACGGGUAACUACACUAUGAGACAUUAGAAUACACCUGGUACGUGCAAAGUUGAGAGAGAGAGAGAGAGAGAGAGAGGUGUAAAUUAAUAGGUGAAGGCAGGUGAAGUA
rnacentral:lncRNA from 1 species